rnacentral:rRNA from 1 species
GGGGAAUCUUCCGCAAUGGGCGAAAGCCUGACGGAGCAACGCCGCGUGAGGGAGGAAGGUCUUUGGAUUGUAAACCUCUUUUCUCAAGGAAGAAGUUCUGACGGUACUUGAGGAAUCAGCCUCGGCUAACUCCGUGCCAGCAGCCGCGGUAAUACGGGGGAGGCAAGCGUUAUCCGGAAUUAUUGGGCGUAAAGCGUCCGCAGGUGGUCAGCCAAGUCUGCCGUCAAAUCAGGUUGCUUAACGACCUAAAGGCGGUGGAAACUGGCAGACUAGAGAGCAGUAGGGGUAGCAGGAAUUCCCAGUGUAGCGGUGAAAUGCGUAGAGAUUGGGAAGAACAUCGGUGGCGAAAGCGUGCUACUGGGCUGUAUCUGACACUCAGGGACGAAAGCUAGGGGAGCGAAAGGGAUUAGAUACCCCUGUAGUC